GGGGUACUUUGCUUCGUACAUCCGACACUCGAGGUUAGGGGAAUGAGAAGCCAUUGUCGAGAAGCUCUGAGAGAGUUCUUAGGAGUUUGGACUCACUGCCACUGGAAAUCGAUGGACUGUAAUGAGAGAACCGCCGUGAGGGAUUUCGACGGCGAGGGGGCAAAGUAGCGUACGGUGAGGUGAGGGAAAUGAGAAGGUCGACACAAGGGACUGGGGAGAAUCU
rnacentral:misc_RNA from 1 species